AGAGCCAUUGACAGAUCACCAACAUGGUGAUUCAUUUGAAAGUUCACAAUGUAGUGCAUUAGCAGAAAAUGGUUGAUGUACCCUGCUUCAACUCUGAUGAACACAGGAGCUCCAGAGCCAAACUUUUAACUUUGCAAAUAACUUCAACGGGUAACGUGUAAAUUUUAAACUUUUUAUGGAAAACCUGACAUGAAAAUGUAGGAGGUCCUAUAUGCUGCAGUGCUGCAUUCCCAACUGCUCACCAGAUGUCUAAGCCAAGAUACGCCAUCAUCAGCUCAAACUCAUCAUUCUCAAACCAAACUUCUCAAUUUCUACUGCAAGCCACUCAUGACUCCUGACCUUCCUGUUUUUGUUAAACACACCACUACUCCUCCAACUCUAAAAGGACUCUUGCACUUGGACACUGUCGCAGAUGUAGGUGCCAACCCUCACCACUGCCUCCCUCCAAGGCAGCUUGAGGAUACAGGUUCCACACGUCCUACGGCUGCCUGCAUUCCUCUAGCAGCUGGAGAGCGCUGGACCUUCUCGGCCACACCAGAAGUGCCGGGGAGUUAACACCCAGGCACAAUUCUCAACAAUAGAGCAAGGGAGUUUAGUAGAUAAAUACAUCAAUUUCCCCGGCCUUUCAGUGGGCAAUUCUGAGACAAGCUCUAUGGUCUCUCACAGCUUCCUCAGGAAUACAUCUGUUUCCUGGCCCUCUUGCCUCUCCUGUGUCAUUUCCCUACUCCCUCACGAUGCUUACUGGGAUUGUCUUCCAAAGAAAUUACUUG